CUGAACCGUCGACACGAGUUGUUGCUGGUCCUCGAAAGGGGAUACGUGCACACUCUGUCUACACAUCCACUCACACCUGUGCACCCUUGUAGUUCUAUGGCCUGGGGAUCCUGUCCUCUUGCUGUGGUCCUACGUCUUUACACACACACCAUAACAAAGUAUCAUGGAAUGUACAUCGCGUUUAACGCAAUACAAUA
rnacentral:misc_RNA from 2 species